UACAUUGCGGCUGCCGCGCGGUUUAGAAGCAGUGAAGUCGAGUCCUAUAAACUUGCUUGUUACAAUUUAGUGUGUUUUUAACUGUUUAUUCGGUUAAAAUCACUUAGAAUAUUGUUGUGAUUUUGGGCUAGUGUUGGCAGUGGCACGUCCAGCAGUCUGUGGAUUUGGUGAAUUCCAGGUAUGAAACUACUGUGAUGUAUACUCAUCCCAAUAUGUUACGAGUUCAGCAACAUCAAUUGUCAUUAAAGAACAGUGGGAUAACUUAAAAUAUUUGAGUAGAAUGUUGUGCAGACUUGAAGAAACAGCGCACGUUUUGCCAAAAUUUGAAUUACAGAUCGACUUAAAAAACGCCCUCGCCCAGAGCUCCAGUAUCUCGUGGUGUGCAGCUACAUCCAGCUGCGACGUUAGUGGAGAUGAUCUUUUCUGUUUUCAUUUUUGCAGGCUCCUGAACAAACAAUUUCGUUGAUGGCCACCACAACAUUUCCCAGUGGAUGAUUUUUCUCUACAGGUUUGUUUUCCACUUCAAAAGGACAAACAGUUUGGGGAUGUUGGCCGAGUUCCUGCAGUUCGUCCAAGAUGGAAACGGUGCGAAAUUCCACGAGUUGAUCAGAGCCAUUUGGGAUUCCAGCGCAUGGUAGGACCCAGAAAGUGGCCGAGAAGAUGCAAAAGAUUGAAAAGACAAGAUCCGCAGCUCCAAGACAAUUCCUGCUCAACUUGU